GACGAACCGUGCGAACGUUGUUCGGAAUCACUGGGCUUAAAGGGCGCGUAGGCGGGCUGCCGAGUCUGCGGUGAAAUCCUCCCGCUCAACGGGAGAACGGCCGCGGAUACUGGCGGCCUCGAGGGGGGUAGGGGCAAGCGGAACGGUGCGUGGAGCGGUGAAAUGCGUUGAUAUGCACCGGAACUCCGGUGGCGAAGGCGGCUUGCUGGACCCCUUCUGACGCUGAGGCGCGAAAGCCAGGGGAGCGAACGGG
rnacentral:rRNA from 1 species